AUGGCUGCAGCACCCUCAUCUGUCCGCAUUUCCAUCAUCCUACUUCUCCUCCUACUCUCAGUCAUCUCCACGUCUUCUUCUUCUUAUUAUUAUUCAGUUCCGGCUAAUGGCAGCGACACGGACCUCGCCGCGCUGCUGGCUUUCAAAGCCCAGCUUGCCGACCCUCUCGGUGUAUUGGCAGGCAACUGGACUGCCGGCACAUCUUUCUGUCACUGGAUCGGUGUCUCGUGCAGCCGCCGGCGGCAGCGCAUCACUGCUCUAGCCUUCUCGGACACACCCCUCUUUGGAUCUUUGGUUCCUCACCUCGGUAACCUCUCUUUCCUCUCUGUUCUUGAUAUUACCUAUGCAAACCUCACCGGUUCCAUCCCUCAUGAGCUCGGCAGGCUACGUCGGCUUUGGUAUCUUCGUCUUGUAGGAAAUAGCCUAUCAAAUGCCAUUCCUACAUCCCUAGGGAAUCUCAGAGGGCUCGAGUCAAUCAAUCUAAGUUAUAACCAACUCACCGGCCAAAUCCCUCCCGAGUUGUUAAUUCGUAUGCCGAAACUUGAGACGAUUUUUCUGGCUGGGAACAAAUUAAGUGGCCAAAUACCAUCCAAUCUAUUUGAUAACACACCUUCAUUGAGAGUCAUCAACUUUGACACCAAUAGGCUCUCGGGCCAAAUUUCCCCUGAGUUGUUAUUUCGUCUGCGUAAACUUGAGAUGUUUUCCCUAUCUGAAAAUGACUUGAGUGGCCAAAUACCACCGCACCUAUUCAGUUACACGCCUUCCUUGAGGAAAAUCUACUUUAACAACAACAUGAUCUCUGGCCAGAUCCCACCUAAGUUGUUAAGUUGUCUAGGGAAACUUGAGGUAAUUGCUAUGUAUCAAAAUGAACUGAGUGGCCAAAUACCACCCAAUUUGUUCAAUAGCACGCCUGCUCUGAGCUACAUUUACUUCCACAAUAACAAACUCUCGGGCCAGAUCCCUCCUGAUAUGCUACUACCUCUUCAUAACCUUAGAUAUAUUACUCUGUCUGAAAAUGAGCUGAGUGGUCAAAUACCUCCUUAUUUGUUCAAUAACACACCGUCCUUGGAGUACAUUGAAUUUGGAAACAACAGCCUAUCAGGUCCCAUUCCACAAACCAUAUACAACAAGUCCAUGUUGCAAUACAUUUCAUUCGGGAACAACAACCAUAUUGGAACGAUUCCAAACAAUCAUAGUUUUAGCCUCCCAAUGUUGCAAACUCUUAACCUCGGUCCAAACAAAUUUACCGGUAGGAUUUCAUUGGGGAUUGCAUCAUGUCAAUAUCUCGAAGAACUAUUUUUGAAUGACAAUUCUUUUUUGGAUGUUGUUCCCUUAUGGUUAGGUAGAUUGCAACACCUCAAAUAUCUUUCGUUGGGUGGAAAUAACCUUGUAGGCUUGAUCCCAGCUGCUAUCGGCAAUCUCACUAGUCUUAUUGCGCUGGACCUAUCUCACUGCAACCUCAAAGGAAACAUUCCACUAGAAUUAGGGCUAAUGCAAAAGCUUUCCUAUCUUCAUCUUGGAUCAAAUGAACUUACUGGUACAAUUCAACCUUCCCUCGGUAAUUUAUCCAAGUUGAAUUUCCUCUAUUUGGAUAAGAAUAAAUUAUCCGGCUUAGUACCACCAAAACUUGGCAACAUAGCAACAUUGGAAAGGUUUAUUCUACAAAGGAACUAUCUAGAGGGAAAUGUGGAGUUCUUAUCUGGUUUAUCUAAUAGCAGAAGCCUCCAACUGAUUGAUGUAUCGAGUAAUUCUUUCACGGGUGCCCUCUCUGACUAUGUAGGAAACCUCACUUCACAGUUAAUCACAUUCGUUGUAUCUGAUAACAAGUUGGUAGGUGGAGUUCCAACAACAAUUUCAAACAUAAGUAGCAUAGAAUGGAUAGAUCUUUCUAAUAACCAAAUCAUCGAACCAAUUCCAGAAUCUAUCACUAUGUUACAAAAUCUUGUGUUGCUUGAUCUCUCUAGCAAUAACAUUUUGAGUGCUAUACCAAUAGAAAUGGGCAAGCUUGGGAGUCUACAACGGUUGUUUCUCGAAAGAAACAAAUUAUUUGGAGCUAUACCAAGUAGCUUCAGUAAUCUCAGUAGUUUAGAGAAAAUCGAUUUGUCCAAUAACCAGUUAUGUUCAAUGGUACCUGAAAGCCUAUUCAGCCUUGAUAAGCUUGUCGAACUCAACCUUUCUUUCAAUUCUUUUGUCGGUGCACUACCGCUGGAUGUUUCUCGACUAAUACAAACAUAUCAAAUGGACCUUUCUUCUAACUUCUUCCUAGGAAGCAUCCCACAGUCAAUUGGACAACUUAAGAUGCUAGCCUAUUUAAAUCUAUCACACAACUCAUUCGGAGGCCCAAUAGAAAACCCACUUCAAAAGCUAACUAACUUAGUAUCAUUGGACCUAUCCUUCAAUAACCUCUCUGGUACCAUUCCUAUGUUCCUUGCAAACUUUACCAACUUGACUACAUUGAAUCUUUCAUUCAAUAGACUAGAAGGACAAAUACCAGAGGGUGGUGUUUUCUCAAACCUCCUAUUGCAAUCUUUGACUGGGAAUGCUGGGCUAUGUGGCGCUCCACGCCUAGGAUUUUUGCCAUGUGUUGACGAAUCUCAUUCAACUAACAAACUAUCGCUAGAAUUUCUACUUCCCAUAGCCAUGGUUGUUUUUGGCUGUAUUGCUACCUGCUUAUACCUAUGGAUCAACAAAAAACACAAGAACAAGAGAGGGGUCAAAAUGUAUGUUGAUCCAACUGAUGGAAUAGGCCAUCAGAUCGUCUCGUACCGUGAGAUCACUCAGGCCACAAAUAAUUUCAACGAAGAUAACAUGUUGGGGUCCGGAAGUUUUGGAAAAGUAUUCAAGGGGCAAUUGAGUGGUUUGGUAGUCGCGAUAAAAGUUCUUGACAUGCAACUGGACCAGGCCAUGAGAAGCUUUGACGUUGAGUGUAGUGUGCUUCGCAUGGCACGACACCGCAAUCUAAUACGAAUACUCAACACGUGUUCCAACCUAGACUUUAGAGCACUUGUAUUUCAAUACAUGCCAAAUGGCAGUUUAGAGAUGCUAUUGCACCGGUCUCAGAGUACAGUGCACUUGGGUUUCCUCGAGAGGCUCAAUAUCAUGCUCGACGUGUCGAUGGCAGUAGAGUAUCUGCAUCAUCAGCAUUACGAAGUGAUUUUGCACUGUGACUUGAAGCCGAGCAACGUGUUGUUUGACGCGGACAUGACCGCACAUGUGUCAGACUUCGGCAUUGCAAGGUUGCUUCUAGGUGAUGACAACUCCAUAAUUUCUACAAGCAUGCCUGGAACAGUGGGCUACAUGGCACCAGAGUACGGAUCUCUUGGAAAAGCAUCACGGAAGAGCGAUGUGUUCAGCUACGGGAUCAUGCUCCUAGAAGUCUUCACUAGAAGAAGACCCACUGAUGCUAUGUUUGGAGGUGAAUUAACCCUUAGGCAGUGGGUUCACCAUGCAUUUCCCACAGAGCUUAUGGGUGUUGUGGAUGACCAGAUACUACAAGGCUGCUUUUCUAGCUACGACUUGGCCAAUGGAUUUCUUGUGCCAGUAUUUGAGCUAGGUUUGCUCUGUUGCAGUGACUCGCCUGACGAGAGAACAACGAUAAGCAACGUGGUUGUGAGGUUGAAGAAGAUCAAAGCAGAGUACACCAAAAAGGCAGCAACGACAUCACGUGGUGUGGCACAACAAUUGAUCUCCCAUGCUCCUCCCUCUCGCUCAGUGCUCAUCGAGGACAAUGAGAGGCCAUCAACGACUAGCUAG
rnacentral:rRNA from 1 species